AUGGUCACCAUGUCUUUCCUCGACGUCUCUGGCGCCAACGGGAAGUACCACCUCGACCUGUCCGGUCACGACCUCUCCGCCGUCGGCGCCGACAUCAAGCACUGCCAGUCCAAGGGCGUCCCCGUCUCCCUCUCCAUCGGCGGCUACGGCACCGGCUACUCGCUCCCGUCCAACCGCUCCGCGCUCGACCUCUUCGACCACCUCUGGAACUCCUACUUCGGCGGGUCCAAGCCGGGCGUCCGCCGCCCCUUCGGUGACGCGUGGCUCGACGGCGUCGACCUCUUCCUGGAGCACGGCACGCCGGCGGACCGCUACGACGUGCUGGCGCUCGCAACAUCCGCGGCGGCCCGGGGAAGCCGCUGCACCUGA
rnacentral:rRNA from 1 species